rnacentral:rRNA from 1 species
AUGUCUUCCGAGCCCGCGAAAGCGCCGCCCACCCCCGAAGCGGGCGUCCCCGCAGCCACCGUCAGCAAUAAGCAACGGAAGAGGGACGCCAGGAAGGCCGAGAAGGCGGCCAAGUACGCGCACGCGCAGCAGAAGCCCGCCGCCGAGAACCCCUCGCCGGAGCACGAGCAGCAGCCCGCCGCCGCCGAGGACGACCCCUCGGCGGCCAACUACGGCGACGUCCUCCCCGGGGAGAUCCUCCCCGCGGCGGUCCCUGACGAACCGUGGGCCGAGAUCGGCCACCUCGACAAGGCCGCCGCCGGCCGCUCCGUGCUGGUCCGCGCGACGGCGGAGGCGGUCUACCGCGGGUCCAAGACCAAGAACGUGGCCUUCCUCAAGCUGCGGCAGGUGCUGAGCACCGUGCAGUGCGUGCUCGCCGGCAGCGCCCAGAUGAUGCUCUUCGCCUUGUCCCUCCCCAAGGAGUCCAUCGUCGUCGUGGAGGGCGCCGUGGCCCUCCUCGACGAGCCCCUCAGCUACACCACAGUGCAAGAGGUGGAGAUUAAGGUGAGGAAGCUCUACUGCAUCAGCAGGGCCGACCCGAAGCUACCCAUCAGCGUCGAGGACGCCGGCCGGAGUGCGGCGGAGUUUGCAAAAGCUGAAGCAAAGGGAGUGCCACUUCCCCGCGUUGGUCAGGAAACACGCUUGGACUAUCGAGUUAUUGAUGUGCGGACACCGACCGGUCAAGCCAUUUUCCGUGUACAGCAUCAAGUUGAAAACAAAUUCAGGGAGUAUUUGUCGGCAAGAGAUUUUAUCGGGAUCCACACUCCAAAGCUGAUUUCAGGGUCAAGUGAAGGUGGAGCAGCAGUAUUCAAACUUGAAUAUAAGAAUGGCAAGUCUGCUUGUUUAGCACAAUCCCCUCAGCUGCACAAGCAGAUGGCUAUCUGUGGUGGGUUCCGUCGUGUCUUUGAGGUUGGGCAUGUGUUUAGAGCUGAAGACUCCAACACACAUAGGCAUCUGUGUGAGUUUGUUGGUUUGGACGCUGAAAUGGAGAUUAUGAGGCACUACUUUGAGGUUUGCGAUAUUGUGGAUGGAUUAUUUAUAGAAAUUUUCAGACACUUGAAUGAAAAUUGCAAGAGGGAACUUGAGGCAAUUAAUAGGCAGUAUCCAUUUGAACCACUGAAGUACCUAGAGAGAACCUUGAGGCUCAGUUACGAGGAAGGAAUACAAAUGUUGAAGGAAGCUGGAACAGAAAUCGAGCCUAUGGCUGACCUCAACACUGAAGCUGAGAAAAAACUUGGUCAGCUUGUUAGGGAGAAGUAUGACACUGAGUUUUUCAUUCUCUAUCGAUAUCCUUUGGCGGCACGCCCCUUCUACACCAUGCCUUGCUAUGAAAACCCAGCGUACAGCAACUCUUUUGAUGUCUUCCUUCGAGGUGAGGAAAUAAUUUCCGGAGCACAAAGAAUACAUGAACCCAAGCUGCUGGCCAAGCGUGCGGCGGAGCAUGGAAUCGGUAUGAGUUCCAUCAAGUCAUACAUCGACUCAUUCAGCUACGGCACACCUCCUCAUGGCGGGUUCGGGGUCGGGCUGGAGAGGGUGGUCAUGCUGUUCUGCGGACUGCACAACGUCCGGUUGGCAUCGCUUUUCCCUCGUGACCCGCAGCGGCUGAGCCCAUGA